CAAUAGCGUAUAUUAAAGUUGUUGCAGUUAAAAAGCUCGUAGUUGGAUUUCUGGUAGGAGCGACCAUACCGAGCUUGAUUGUUCGUGUAAUGUGUUGUCUCCAGCCAUCCUCGUGGAGAGUGUGUCUGGCAUUAAUUUGUUGGAGGCAGGACCCGCGUCGUUUACUGUGAAAAAAUUAGAGUGUUCAAAGCAGGCAAUUGGCUUGAAUAUAUUAGCAUGGAAUAAUAAGAUAGGACUUUGGUGCUAUUUUGUUGGUUUGCACAUCAAGGUAAUGAUUAAUAGAAUCAGUCGGGGAUAUUCGUAUGCAAAUGUCAGAGGUGAAAUUCUUGGAUUUUUUACAGACGAACUACUGCGAAAGCAUUUAUCAAGGAUGUUUUCAUUAA
rnacentral:rRNA from 1 species